AGCUGCCGCGGUAAUUCCGGCUCCAAUAGCGUAUAUUAAAGUUGUUGCAGUUAAAAAGCUCGUAGUUGAAUUUCGGGAUCUAUCCGUCGGUCGGGCCUCACGGUCCGCACUGGUGUGAUGGAUUCCUACCUUCUGAAUAACCGGUAUGCCAUUAAUUUGAUAUGCCGGGGAAGCAGAACCAUUACCUUGAAAAAAUUAGAGUGCUCAAAGCAGGCUUGUGCCUGAAUACAUUAGCAUGGAAUAAUAAAAUAGGACGGCAUGGUUGGUUUCUAGGAUCACCGUAAUGAUUAAUAGGGAUAGUUGGG
rnacentral:rRNA from 1 species